GUGCCAGCAGCCGCCGGUAAUACGAAAGGGUGCAAGCGUUACUCGGAAUUACUGGGCGGUAAAGCGUGCGUAGGUGGUUGUUUAAGUCUGUCGUGAAAGCCCUGGGCUCAACCUGGGAAAUUGCGAUGGAAACUGGGCGACUAGAGUGUGGCAGAGGGUAGUGGAAUUCCUGGUGUAGCAGUGAAAUGCGUAGAGAUCAGGAGGAACAUCCGUGGCGAAGGCGACUGCCUGGGCCAACACUGACACUGAGGCACGAAAGCGUGGGGAGCAAACAGGAUUAGAUACCCUGGUAGUCC
rnacentral:rRNA from 1 species